UAGAGUAGGUAAGUAGUACAUAUAAAAACUAGAUAGAAACAAACGUGAAGUCAGUCAAAUUGUAUUGUUCCAUACUACGCAUCGGUAUCAAUCUAUCGACUUGUGAUUAAGUAGGCCUGCAGUAGAGCAAAACAUGUUGACAUAUUUUGAGUUUUCAGUUCUACUGGGGGUCUUUGCAACACUGUGUUUAGGUACUUCUGCUUCAACUCUAACACCAAUUAAACAUGCUACUCUCGAAGGUUUCGAGUUUUGCAAGCCAAACAACCCGCAGCUUCUGAAAAGUAUUUGCCUUGUUGCAGCAAAUCGGUUAGAAAUUGUAGACUAUGAUCCAAGCACCUUGGAAAAUCUUGAAUGCAAGAUUGGCGAUAAAGGAAAAGUUCUGUUAGACCCUGGCGAUGGGUCCGAAUGGCAAUUAGUGCAAGAUGCGUUACUGGAAUGCGUAUUCAAUUUGCCAGCAAAUAAAUUCAACAAACCACAUACAGAUACUGUAACUUUUGGCAGAGGAUUAGAAACAAGUGAUGUAUAUAGAUAUCGUUGGAAUAAAACUAAGGGGCGUUAUCUAGUCGACGGAUUAUACAAUGAUAUGUUAAAGACCUUGAUUCCAUCUGCUUCAGUUCUAACACCAAUUCAACAUGCCAAACUCGAGGGUUAUGAGUUUUGCAAGCAAAACGACCCUCAGCUUCUGAAAAAUAUUUGCCUCGACACAGCAAAACGGUUUGAAAUUGAAAAAUAUGACCCAAGCACCUUGGAAAAUCUCGCUUGCAAGAUAGGAGAUCAAGGAAAAGUUCUGUUAAACCCGGGCGAUGGGUCCGAAUGGCAAUUAGUGCAAGAUGCGUUACUGGAAUGCGUAUUCAAUAUGCCAGCAGAUGACCACUUCAAAGUACCUCAUACAACUACCAUAACUUUUGGCAGAGGAUUGAAAAAAUAUGAUCUGUAUCGAUAUCGUUGGGAUGUAACUAGGAAACGUUAUCUAGUUGACGGAUUAUACCAUGAUAAGUAUGAUAGGUUAAAGAAGUUGAUUGAUGAAAAAUCUGAAAACCCUGUGCUACCGAAUGAUGAUUUUUGAGAGCAUAUUAAGCGGUGUUCCAUCCGCAUCCAGGAAGGGAUGGUACCCAUUGGUACCCUCUAUAACGUGGUUUCCAGGGAUCUUACGCUAUCUCCAGCAGUUUUUAACCGAUUGAUUUGAAACUUGAAGUCAAGGUGGAGGUACCUAUGUACUUGUUGUGCAGGACCAUGUCGUUUUACUUGUCGUUUUCAAUUUUCUUGGCUUUGGUGAUAAUACUAUGCCAAGCAACUCCAAUUCUAACACCAGAUGCGCAUGCACAACUUCAAGGUUAUGAGUUUUGCAAUCGAAGCAAAAAGACUCUGAAAAAAAUAUGCGUUCAAGCGGCGGAACAUGAAAAUAUUACAGAGUAUCAGAAAAGCGCAUUAGGAAACCUUUCUUGCAAAGAAGGCGACGAUGGAAAAGUGCUGUUAGAUCCUGGCAAUGGAGGAGCAUGGCAAUGAUAUUCGAAUUGCCAGCAGACCAGUUCAUGUCACGACCUUACUCAGUUACCAGGAUUUUUGAAAGAGGACGAAAUAAGUAUGACGCAUUUCGAUAUGAAUUCAGGCAAGGAAAUUAUGUAGCCACCGGCUUGUACAGAAAUUUGUUACAAGGAUAUCGGUUACUUCGUUAUUAUAACUAUAUCUUCAUAGAAAUUACUUUCAGUUUUUUUUUGUUUUUUUGUUUUUUUUUUCUUUCAAUUAAAAUACAUUAAGUAUAAGUACCUACCUACUUUGUCAUUUUUUUAUUCAUUACAAUAGUAAUUUCAUUUCUAAAUGUAUCAAUGUAAGAAGUCCAGGUUCUCUUCUCAGUUGCAUCAUAACUACUAUGUACUUACAAUUUUUAUUCUAUCACGUUGUACAGAUUCCAUUUCAUCAGCAAUACAACAAUUUGACAAAUAUUUUUUGAAACAAUUUUUUUUCAAAAUAAGU